rnacentral:rRNA from 1 species
CGCAUCUGUGCAUGCAGCAUAUCAAUAAGCGGAGGAAAAGAAACUAACAAGGAUUCCCCUAGUAACGGCGAGUGAAGCGGGAAGAGCUCAAAUUUGAAAUCUUAAAGGGUUUCCCUUUACGAAUUGUAGUUUAAAGAAGUGUUUUCUGUUGAGGUUUUGGUAAAAGUUCUUUGGAAUAGGACAUCAUAGAGGGUGAGAAUCCCGUAUUUGACCUUUACUUUCAACUUUGUGAUACACUUUCAAAGAGUCGGAUUGUUUGGGAAUGCAGUCCAAAAUGGGUGGUAAAUUUCAUCUAAAGCUAAAUAUUGGCGAGAGACCGAUAGCGAACAAGUACCGUGAGGGAAAGAUGAAAAGAACUUUGAAAAGAGAGUUAAACAGUACGUGAAAUUGUCAAAAGGGAAGCGUUUGAUCACCAGUGUUGUUUUUCUGAAAAUCAAUUAAAGAACUGUUUAUGCUAAGCUGUUUAGACUUUAUCAGCUAACUGUUUAGUUUUGAGCUUUUCUUUAAUGCACUUUUCAGUUAACAAGUCAACAUCAAUUUCUUUUGCUGUAAAAAAGCUUGAGGAAGGUGGCUUGAGAUUCGUCUUAAGUGUUUAUAGCCUCUUGCCUAUGCAGUCGGAGAGAUUGAGGUCUGCAGCGUAGAUCCUUCGGGGCUAAAUGCAUUUGUGCUAAGUUAUAGCAUUUCAUAGACAACUUGUUGACUAUGAUUUGUCUUGUAGCUUACUCGCUUAUGUUAUUUUACCUACGCUUAGGAUGUUGACAGCAGUAUAGACUGU